UCCAAAUCACCUACGCAGUGGCAGCACACAAAAUCUCCCCCAACAGUGGCGGCGGCGGCGGCCAGAUCCCUUCUCCAAGCUGGGUGAGUAUGCAGGGUGGAGUUGUUGUACCAUUUCUCCGAUGGCUCCUUGUCGUUGUGUCGCUGGAGGCGUUGUUUGAGGCAGAUCAGAUCAUACUUCGUUUGAUCUGAAUCUCCGGCAUCAGUCGGUUGGUUGCCUCCUCUCCCUCUCUUCUCUCAAGCUCCAAGAUCAGCUCAUGUACUCCCCCCCUCGUUGGCAGCAAGCCGGUUGCCAGCUUCCUGGCUUCAACACGGUGAUUCAUUUUCCUGUGGCUGUGGCUGCAGGGUCAGGUGGUGCUGUGAUGUGUGCCUCCUCUAGCAUCUUUAAGUUCUGCCUUGAGCCCUCGACCUUGCACACACAGACUGCUGGGUGGUCGCGACUGCGCGCCAAACUGAUUGUCUCCGCUCCCUGUGUGACGAGAUGCCCCUCAGGCCGCCAGGAGGUGGCCGUUGAGCUUGACGUGGCUGCCAGCUGGUUGGCAGGGUUGAUUCCUUGAUCGGCGAUGCACAGCAACGCACAAGAAACUUGAUGAGCAAAAAGCACUAGAACUGGAGGCAAAGGCUGGACGCAAGCUAGCAAAAUUAAUGCAGUUUUUUAAUGGCAAUGCUUCUUUAGCAGUGAUUAGUUUAGUCAUUCAUACUUAGUCUUACCCAUGUUUGGAUUUCUUGCAUGAUAUGUGAUGUAGCAGAAGCUGCUAGCGAAAUCAAAUAUACUACAGAUUUCAUGCAAUAGAUUUUAUAAAAUUUAGGGAGGAGGCAUCAACGAAGUGAAGAUUUGAAUUUGAUA